CAAAACAUGUCUUAUCGAUAAUAAUUUUAAGUCAAUCUCUGCCUAAUGAUAUUUAUUAAAUGGCUGCAGUAUAAUUGACUGUACAAAGGUAGCAUAAUCAAUUGAUUUUUAAAUGGAAUCUGGAAUGAAAGGAUUAAUGAAAUAUAUACUGUCUCAUAUAUAUAAUAUGAAUUUAAAAUUUUAAUGAAAAUGUUAAAAUUUUCUUGUGGGACGCUAAGACCCUAUAUAUUAACAUAAAAUUUAUUUUGUAUUUAAUUGGGAGAAUUAUUAAAUUUAAAAAAUUUCGAUUUUCAUAAACUUAAAUUAAUGAAAAGUUUUUGAUUUGAAAUUUUUAAUUAUUAGUAUAAAUUACCUUAGAGAUAACAGCGUAAUAUUUUUUUAUAGAUCUUAUAGAAAAAAAUGAUUGCGACCUCGAUGUUGAAUUAAGAUAAAUUUUAAAUGUAGAAGUUUAAUAAUUAAGUCUGUUCGACUUUUAAAAUCUUACAUGAUUUGAGUUCAAAUCGACGUAAGU
rnacentral:rRNA from 1 species